rnacentral:rRNA from 1 species
GACGAACGCUGGCGGCGUGCUUAACGCAUGCAAGUCGAACGGAAAGGCCCUGCUUUUGUGGGGUGCUCGAGUGGCGAACGGGUGAGUAACACGUGAGUAACCUGCCCUUGACUUUGGGAUAACUUCAGGAAACUGGGGCUAAUACCGGAUAGGAGCUCCUGCUGCAUGGUGGGGGUUGGAAAGUUUCGGCGGUUGGGGAUGGACUCGCGGCUUAUCAGCUUGUUGGUGGGGUAGUGGCUUACCAAGGCUUUGACGGGUAGCCGGCCUGAGAGGGUGACCGGCCACAUUGGGACUGAGAUACGGCCCAGACUCCUACGGGAGGCAGCAGUGGGGAAUAUUGCACAAUGGGCGGAAGCCGGAUGCAGCAACGCCGCGUGCGGGAUGACGGCCUUCGGGUUGUAAACCGCUUUCGCCUGUGACGAAGCGUGAGUGACGGUAAUGGGUAAAGAAGCACCGGCUAACUACGU